UUCGCCCUUAGAGUUUGAUCCUGGCUCAGGACGAACGCUGGCGGCGCGCCUAACACAUGCAAGUCGAACGAGAGAUGAGGAGCUUGCUCUUCAAAUCGAGUGGCGAACGGGUGAGUAACGCGUGAGGAACCUGCCUCAAAGAGGGGGACAACAGUUGGAAACGACUGCUAAUACCGCAUAAGCCCACGGCUCGGCAUCGAGCAGAGGGAAAAGGAGCAAUCCGCUUUGAGAUGGCCUCGCGUCCGAUUAGCUAGUUGGUGAGGUAACGGCCCACCAAGGCGACGAUCGGUAGCCGGACUGAGAGGUUGAACGGCCACAUUGGGACUGAGACACGGCCCAGACUCCUACGGGAGGCAGCAGUGGGGAAUAUUGCACAAUGGGGGAAACCCUGAUGCAGCGACGCCGCGUGGAGGAAGAAGGUCUUCGGAUUGUAAACUCCUGUUGUCGAGGAAGAUAAUGACGGUACUCAACAAGGAAGUGACGGCUAACUACGUGCCAGCAGCCGCGGUAAAACGUAGGUCACAAGCGUUGUCCGGAAUUACUGGGUGUAAAGGGAGCGCAGGCGGGAGAACAAGUUGGAAGUGAAAUCCAUGGGCUCAACCCAUGAACUGCUUUCAAAACUGUUUUUCUUGAGUAGUGCAGAGGUAGGCGGAAUUCCCGGUGUAGCGGUGGAAUGCGUAGAUAUCGGGAGGAACACCAGUGGCGAAGGCGGCCUACUGGGCACCAACUGACGCUGAGGCUCGAAAGUGUGGGUAGCAAACAGGAUUAGAUACCCUGGUAGUCCACACCGUAAACGAUGAUUACUAGGUGUUGGAGGAUUGACCCCUUCAGUGCCGCAGUUAACACAAUAAGUAAUCCACCUGGGGAGUACGACCGCAAGGUUGAAACUCAAAGGAAUUGACGGGGGCCCGCACAAGCAGUGGAGUAUGUGGUUUAAUUCGACGCAACGCGAAGAACCUUACCAAGUCUUGACAUCCCUUGACGAUGCCGGAAACAGUAUUUCUCUUCGGAGCAAGGAGACAGGUGGUGCAUGGUUGUCGUCAGCUCGUGUCGUGAGAUGUUGGGUUAAGUCCCGCAACGAGCGCAACCCUUAUGGUCAGUUACUACGCAAGAGGACUCUGGCCAGACUACCGUUGACAAAACGGAGGAAGGUGGGGAUGACGUCAAAUCAUCAUGCCCUUUAUGACUUGGGCUACACACGUACUACAAUGGCGUUAAACAAAGAGAAGCAAGACCGCGAGGUGGAGCAAAACUCAGAAACAACGUCCCAGUUCGGACUGCAGGCUGCAACUCGCCUGCACGAAGUCGGAAUUGCUAGUGAUCGUGGAUCAGCAUGCCACGGUGAAUACGUUCCCGGGCCUUGCACACACCGCCCGUCA
rnacentral:rRNA from 1 species